CAGCUGAACUAAAGUGAGUGUUGUUUCCUGUCUCUUUGUUUUCAUUGUACAUUAAGCUAAAUUCUGGUAUAUUAAUAUAUAUUAGUGUAUAUUUACAUUCAUACUCCGUAGUCCUUCCCAUCUAUUGAUUUUCAUUGGAGCAAAAGCGGCACAGAAAAUGGAGGAAUUCAUGGUGCUGCAAUGCUGCCUCUGUCCACCAGAAGGAGCCACAGGAGCUCAGAGCUCACAUGGAGGCUGACAUCAAUGCAGUGUGCCCGGCAGGUCUUGUGUGUCAAACCGGACAAUGAGACUAGAAGGACUCCGGGUGCCAAAUGCAAAGGAACAUCCCCAACACGCUGCAGCGGUCUGGCUGCUGGCCUCGGCCCCCCCUGCCAGAUGGAACGCUAAUCGCAGAAACAGCAUGCAGCUCCAGCCGCAGUUAGCCCCGCCUGUCUGGACGCAAUGCAAGACUCUAAGCUCCAUCUUCAGCAACCAUCUCCACCUCCAUCUGUCUUCUUCAAUCGCUGACGCUUUUUCCGUGUUACAUAAACGUCAAACAGCUAAUAUCGUCUACACAUAUUCUUUAUUAUGUCUUCUCAUUUCUAUACAUUUGAUAAUUUGUUUAAUGUAUAACAAAAAUUGGCCAAUUGCCACGUGCGGGUGUUGUUCACCGGCCCUUGUCACAUUCUAAAAAUAGAAUUUAACAAGAAAAUGGUAAUGGUUUAAUUUACAAUUGAAUGCAUCCCAUAAUCAGUUCAUAGUUCCACAUGUCCAAAAGGAGUAGGAAGAAGCAAAGCUUAUUAAAUCCGACCCCUCCAUCUGGUACUUCAAUCAAUUACAAUCAAUAACUGUUACAUUUGUUCACUUCCUGCUUUCCUAAUAUAGUUUAAGUUUGUUUGUUUUUUUUUUGUUUUUUUUUUUAUCCUA